rnacentral:rRNA from 1 species
GAUGAACGCUAGCUACAGGCUUAACACAUGCAAGUCGAGGGGCAGCAUUGUGGUGGCUUGCCACCGCAGAUGGCGACCGGCGCACGGGUGAGUAACGCGUAUCCAACCUGCCCGCAACCGCGGAAUAGCCCGCCGAAAGGCGGAUUAAUGCCGCAUGAGCUCGCGUGGGGGCAUCUGCCCGCGAGCAAAGGUUUUUCCGGUUGUGGAUGGGGAUGCGUCCGAUUAGGCAGCAGGCGGGGCAACGGCCCACCUGGCCGACGAUCGGUAGGGGUUCUGAGAGGAAGGUCCCCCACAUUGGAACUGAGACACGGUCCAAACUCC